rnacentral:lncRNA from 1 species
AGAAUCAGGCGGUGGCGAAUCCCAGUUCGGAAUCGGACCCGAAAGUUCAGGCUGUGGAUUCAUCAGCGCCACCUGCGCCUGCACCAACACCGGCACCGGCACCAGCAUCAGCACCAGUGCAAGUUUCAGCUUCAGCUCCAGCUCCAGCUCCGACUCCAGCUGCACCAACUCUGCCUCAGUCAACUAGUGUGAUAUCCUCUUCAGUUUUGCCAAUUCGAAGUUCUG